rnacentral:lncRNA from 1 species
AAAAAAAAAAAAACUUCAAAUGCUACACCAGUAAUUUCAUAUCCUUUUAUUUUAGUACUAUAUGUAUCAAGUUAGUGCUUUAUAGUUUUAUUUUUAUCUUUUCGUUAGCUUCUUCGUUAAUAUUUUAUUAAAUUAUAUAUAAAAAAUUUUAGAUACUUCAUAUAGAUUUAUCGAAUAUUCAUUUUAGUACCUUUUAAUUUUAACUUUGUCACUAAUUUAACAAAAAAAAUAAUAAAAAAAUUAUAUGACACUAAAUUAAUAUAUUUUAAAAGUGAUAAAAUAUAAAGCUAUAUCGGCGGUAUUUGAAGUUUUUUCAAAAUGAAAUAAAAAAAAAUUUCUCAAACGAAUCACAAUUCC